CCCUUAGAUGUUCUGGGCGGCCCGCGCACUACAUUGGCACUGGCAACAAGAUCCUAGAUCUGGUAUUUCGGGGUAUUCUACCAACUGGUGUCGUGACUGGGAUUAACCCCUGCAAUUAUUGGUUAUGAACGAGGAAUUCCUUGUAAUCACGGUUUAUCAACCCGUGUUGAAUGCGUCCCUGCCCUUUGUACACACCGCCCGUCGCUCCUACCGAUGAAUCGUCCGGUGAAGUUCAUGGAGUCGCGGCUGCUCCAGCUGUUUUCGAAGUGAAAUGGACCUCAUGAUUUAGGGGAAGGAGAANUCGUANCA
rnacentral:rRNA from 1 species